rnacentral:tRNA from 1 species
GCUGAUUUAGUAUAUUUUGAUAAUAUGUGUGAUUGUAAAUCAUAAGAGGGUUUUGUCCAAUCAGAG